UGCAAUUGCUUCUCUGCUAGAUAUGAGUGUUGGCAGGUUGAUCCAUAUUCCCAGUCUGUUUCUAUCUUUCUCUAGUGGGGCAGGGCUCUGGAGAGGUGGGGUUUCAGAACACAUUGGUGAGGUCAUCUGUCCAGGAAAGUCAGGUUGGUGUCGUGGCAGUACCUGAAGCUUGGUGACAGAGUAGUGGAGCUGAAGGGUUGACAUCCCAAGCCUGGUGUCUCUGGACAAAGGAAGCAGGUUUUAAGGAACAUCAAGACCUUGGAUGUAUAACUUUGCUCUUCCCCCUGCUGAUACCAUUCUUUGGAGAAAAUUUACUUUCACUUUUGGAAUUGCUUGAGGACUUGGGCUCUUCAUCUCCCUACCCCACCAGGACCUGACGAGCCCAUAUGUGGGUAAGAGGCACUCAGAAGCCUGGCCUUUCCCUGCUGUUCCUGGCACAGCUGCUGACUUGUGGCCUCAAGUGACAGCCACCAAAUUGCAGAUGCUACCAUAAUAACAACUUGACUUCUCUGGGCAUAUGAACUCACCAAUGUGUCCUGGAACCUGACCUUGCCUGAUCCCUAUCCAUUAGGGAAAGAUAGAAAUAGGCUGGGGUUAUGGAUUGACCUGCCAACACCCAUGUCUAGUGGAGAAGCAAUUACGGAAGCCAGACCCCCCACCUUCUGCACUCCAUACAGAUCUGUGAUCUAUAUUCCCAGAGGGAUAAAGAACAGGG